rnacentral:pre_miRNA from 1 species
AUGUAGAGAAAUCUGUUUUUAAGUAGGGAUACAGGACUUUAAAAGAAAUGAAUCCCAGAUUGGUUUUCUGCAAAUCAAGUGUCUUGU